AUUGAACGCUGGCGGCAGGCCUAACACAUGCAAGUCGAACGGUAACAGGAAGAAGCUUGCUUCUUUGCUGACGAGUGGCGGACGGGUGAGUAAUGUCUGGGAAACUGCCUGAUGGAGGGGGAUAACUACUGGAAACGGUAGCUAAUACCGCAUAACGUCGCAAGCCCAAAGAGGGGGACCUUCGGGCCUCUUGCCAUCGGAUGUGCCCAGAUGGGAUUAGCUAGUAGGUGGGGUAACGGCUCACCUAGGCGACGAUCCGUAGCUGGUCUGAGAGGAUGACCAGCCACACGGGAACUGAGACACGGUCCAGACUCCUACGGGAGGGAGCAGUGGGGAAUAUUGCACAAUGGGCGCAAGCCUGAUGCAGCCAUGCCGCGUGUAUGAAGAAGGCCUUCGGGUUGUAAAGUACUUUCAGCGGGGAGGAAGGGAGUAAAGUUAAUACCUUUGCUCAUUGACGUUACCCGCAGAAGAAGCACCGGCUAACUCCGUG
rnacentral:rRNA from 1 species